UUAUGUAGGAGUACAAACUCAGGAUGUCAUCAAUAGUUUGAACUUGUUUUCUAUAGUUCUAGCAUUGUAUAGCCUAUACAGUAUAGGCUAUGCAUUGUUGUUUUUGCACUUAUAAAUCAAUUUUGUACCUAACUUGUAUUACAGGAUUUGAAUAUGAACUUUUUUCAAGUUACUGGUAAUGUGAAACAGAAAACUUUGGAUAUUA
rnacentral:lncRNA from 1 species